rnacentral:rRNA from 1 species
AGCGAACGCUGGCGGCAGGCCUAACACAUGCAAGUCGAACGAAGUCUUCGGACUUAGUGGCGGACGAGUGAGUAACACGUGGGAACGUGCCUUUAGGUUCGGAAUAACUCAGGGAAACUUGUGCUAAUACCGAAUGUGCCCUUCGGGGGAAAGAUUUAUCGCCUUUAGAGCGGCCCGCGUCUGAUUAGCUAGUUGGUGAGGUAAAGGGUCACCAAGGCUACGAUCAGUAGCUGGUCUGAGAGGAUGACCAGCCACAUUGGGACUGAGACACGGCCCAAACUCCUACGGGAGGCAGCAGUGGGGAAUCUUGCGCAAUGGGCGAAAGCCUGACGCAGCCAUGCCGCGUGGAUGAUGAAGGUCUUAGGAUUGUAAAAUCCUUUCACCGGUGAAGAUAAUGACUGUAGCCGGAGAAGAAGCCCCGGCUAACUUCGUGCCAGCCGCCGCUGUAAGAC